AGCGAACGCUGGCGGCGUACUUAACACAUGCAAGUCGAACGAGGAUCAUCGGGUUAGCAAUAAUUCGGUGGUCCUAGUGGCGCACGGGUGAGUAACACGUGGGUGACCUGCCCUUGAGCUCGGGAUACCCCCUCGAAAGGGGGCGUAAUACCGGAUACGUUCCUCGGUCGAAAGACUGAGGAGGAAAGGUGGCGCAAGCUGCCGCUCUUGGAGGGGCUCGCGGCCUAUCAGCUAGUUGGCGGGGUAACGGCCCACCAAGGCUAUGACGGGUAGCUGGUCUGAGAGGACGACCAGCCACACGGGGACUGAGACACGGCCCCGACUCCUACGGGAGGCAGCAGUGGGGAAUCUUGCGCAACGGUCGAAAGACUGACGCAGCGACGCCGCGUGCGGGAGGAAGCCCUUCGGGGUGUAACCGCUGUUACUCGGGACGAACUUCUCGAUUCAUCGAGAUU
rnacentral:rRNA from 1 species